UCCCCCCAAAUCAGAACUGAAGUACUGAAGAACACAGUGAGUCCCCCAAAUCGAGCUGAAAAGUUUUCUCUCCGUCAAACUUUCUCGCAGAAUCACGGAAGAACACGCUGAAUAUCUGAAGAACUUCUCGCUGAAUCGCUGAAGGUUUGUCAGGUUUCACUAUUUCACAUUGAAAGGCUGAAGAACACUAUUUCACGAUAUCUUGCUGAAGAGCUGAAGGUUACGCCUCACAAAUGAACACGCCUCACUAAAAUGCUUCACUUGAGAAGAUGGUGUCUUAAAGCUUCAUCACAUUUUUUUGGAAUAGGGUUUAUCAGGUAUGUUCAUUGCUAAGGGUGGUAGUAAGGUUCUGGUGGAGCCUCAUAGACAUGGAGGCGUGUUCAUUGCUAAGGGCAAGGAAGAUGAUCUUUGUACUAAGAAUUGGUACCCGGUGAAGCCGUCUACAAUGAAAAGAGAAUCUCUGUUCAGAUCAAGCUUGAGAUUAAGAUAUUGUAGAAUCAUUGUGGUGAACCUAAUAUUGUGAAGUUACUCAAUAUUGUCAGAGAUCAGCUGUCGAAGACCCCAAGUCUUAUAUUUGAAUAGUUGUUGCAGCCGAGGCGAAAGAAGUAGCAGUCUUUGCAUCAUCUUCAGAAUCUUUCUCAAAGUCAAACAUUAAUUGCAGCAUUGAGGAGAACCUUGUUCGAUAUCAAGCUGUUACAUGUGCUUCCGAAAAGAUGGCAAUACGAAUUCACGGACAGUCUCUUCAUUUCCUAAAACCGAAUAAGGGAAAUUCUUUCUGUGGGUUCUCCUUUUCCUCUAACCGGCAAUGUUGUAGCUUAUGUAAAUACUUCAUCUUCUCGUCCAAGGUACAUUUUAGUGGCUACCAGGAAUGUAAAUUUAUUAUUUUAAAUUAUAAUCUUGGUCAUUUACUCCUAUAACUUACUUUAUGAAUUCAAAUAAAUUGUACUGAUGUUAAUAAUUGCUGCAGUUUCUCGUGGUGAAUUUAGUGGAAAACUACUACUGAAAGGUUGAAGUGGUUUUCUGUUGCACAAAAUUGAUGCUUUUUAGGAAUGAAGUUGCUUGAUAUAAUCUUCCUUGUCAAUUGAGCAGUAGUGUUUGUUCUUUCUUUUUUCAGUUGCCAAAAUCACAUCUGAGGCAGGUGCAGAAUAAAGCAGAAGUUGAAGCAGCCAAUACUGGAAUGGCUUGGUGUAUCCAGCACGACUGUAGCAGAAUCAUCCUUGAGGUUGACUCGGAGCAAGUGACCAAAUGGUACAACAAUAGCAUUGCACCUCCAUGGAGCAUAACUGGCCUCAUUCAUCAACCUCAUACUAAUUUAAUACAACUUCUACUACAAUAUACCAACAUGAAAUUGGCAAUCAAACACAAUCCUACAAGGACAACACUAAGACAUUUAGCUGAAGCAGGGAAAUUGAGGUGAUCAAAUUUGAAGGGGUCCGCCACAAGUCAAUUUGAUCUCGUUGAAGUGGAUGAUGAUGAAGAGUUUUUGAACUAUUGUAGAAGUUUGAAUACAUUAUAUUUGAUUUGUGAAAUAUAUUCAUUGCUAGAAUAUAUUGAACUAUUGUAAGAGUACUUUUUGAA